rnacentral:rRNA from 1 species
AGUCUGCAACCCGACUACACGAAGCUGGAAUCGCUAGUAAUCGCGAAUCAGAAUGUCGCGGUGAAUACGUUCCCGGGUCUUGUACACACCGCCCGUCACACCAUGGGAGUCGGGAAUGCCCGAAGUCAGUGACCCAACCUAUAGGAGGGAGCUGCCGAAGGCAGGUCUGAUAACUGGGGUGAAGUCGUAACAAGGUAAC